UCCGACUUAGCUCAGCGGUAGAGCAAUCGGCUGUUAACCGAUUGGUCCUUGGUUCGAAUCCGACAGUCGGAGCCA
rnacentral:tRNA from 1 species